rnacentral:rRNA from 1 species
UACGGAGGAGGCAAGCGUUAUCCGGAAUUAUUGGGCGUAAAGCGUCCGCAGGUGGCACUUCAAGUCUGUCGUCAAAGACUGGGGCUUAACCCUGGAAAGGCGGUGGAAACUGAGGCGCUAGAGUGUGGUAGGGGUAGAGGGAAUACCCGGUGUAGCGGUGAAAUGCGUAGAGAUCGGGAAGAACAUCGGUGGCGAAAGCGCUCUACUGGACCACAACUGACACUCAGGGACGAAAGCUAGGGGAGCGAAUGGG